AAGGGCUCCGUGUGCGGAACACAGGGCUCUGUGUGGGGGAACACAGGGCUCCGUGCGCGGCCAAGGGCCGGGGAACUCGCGGGACUGGUGUACGGUCCACUCGUUCAACCCAGGAGCACUGUAACUCUUGUUAUAAAUAAUGAAGAGAUUCAGCCGAAUUAAAUAUGGUAAAAAUAAGCUAUAAUUUAUUUCGCGACCAAAAUACGGUCCUUGACAGCCACAAUAAAAAAGGGACAGUGCCGAGCCCAGGAUCGGCACCGGGUGAACACGCUCGGAUCCGAACUCUAUCGCUUCGGAUCCCCCAGCGUUCACAAAGCCGCCUUGGCCAUUUCCCCUGGUCGUGCCACUGCAGGCACCUUAGAAGAGAACAAUCCCCACCUCACUACAGCCUACCAUCAGGUAUUGAUAGAACAAGUGGAAACGGUUUUGUCAAGGGAGGAUUAGACUGGAUAUUAGGAAAAAAUACUUCACUGAAAGGGCAGUCAAGCACUGGAGCAGGCUCCUGGGGCAACAGGGGACUUGCCAUCCGUGAAAGUGUUCCAAAACCACGUGGAUGUGGUGCAUGAGGACAUGGUUUUGUGGUGGAUCUUAGGUUGAUGGUUGGACUUGAUGAUCUUGGUGGUGUUUUCCAACCUUAAGAAUUCUGAUUCUCAUCUAACCAUAAAUUUAACAAAUACAUCCUGGUGGCAGUUUACUUUGUAAGAACUCUGACUCCGUUGCUACUUUACUCUGUACUUCCCUGAAACUGUAUUUUUUUCAUGUUACUCAAGCUUGUGAGCUCUCAACCCCACCUUCUGCAAACCUCUGCUUACCUUCAUCAUAAACCAUUCCUUUUUCCCUUAAGUGGGUUUACUUGGUACAUCAGAUUGACUUCACACCUAAGUACCUCUGGGAUCUAGAAAGCAUCCUGUGAUUGCCAUUACCAGGCAAUACAGUAUGUAGAUAUCUUUGGAUUUUUCUUUUUCUUUGCCCCCAGUGUUAAAAGAGAUGACAAAUAGCAGCAUGUUUACACUUGCGUGUUUCUCUACAGUUCUCAGAAGGCAUCUAAACAUUCAGGUUUUCAAAGCUUUGCAUUACCCAAAAGUAUUAAGUGAAUUUUUCCUGAGGCCACUUAAACAAACUACUGCUCCCACUUUCACAGCUCCCAAGCUCUUUAAGCUCUUCUUAUCUGUUGAAAUUGUUUCAUAUCUUUCCUUCUGAGGGCAAACUGCUUUCAACUUCCACUACUAAGAUAUGUGGAAAUAUUCUGGUUUUGUGCCCAGGGUCACAUUGAACAGAGAAGCUGACUCUAGCCCUCAGUUUAUUCCAUUGGAAUACAUCCAUUUACUGCUGGGUUUCCACUUUAAGAAAUUGUAAUUCCAAAGAGUGUUGUAGGCUACUCUCUCUAUGUGUUUCCUUUUACUGCUUCUUGCUUUCUCUCACAGGUUUCUAAAAAAAUUAAUUUUAAUGCAGCCUUGUCACAGUAGUAGUAGCAGUAAGCCUAAAUAUAGAAAUGCAGUAUAAAUAUUUAAAAGAUUCCCUUUAUGAGGCAAGCUUUUCUAAGUGCUUUCCAGGGCAGCAGCAUGUGUGUGGGAGCAUGGGGACUAGAAGGACAGCUGCGCUAAGAAUUUCGCUCAGGAGGGGGUAAUGUGUCUACAACACUCUUCCAGGAAGUUUAUUUUGGUGAGAACAAUUUUAAAUUGGAAAAGGAUUGUACAAAGAAAGACCUCCUAGUAAUAUCAGCUGAGCUGUUAGCUCUCUGCAGAUGACACACUUUUUGUGUUCACUUUGCAGGCAAAGUUGCCAUCUCAAGUCACUUGGUGCUGGAGAUUCUGCAUGUCACCUUGUGUCACUUCUUAAGCCUUGGAAGUCUACUCCAUCUUUAGAAUUCUGAAAUAUCUUGGGCUGGAAGUGAUCUGUAAGGAUCCUUUAGUCCAACUCCUGUUCCUCUCAGGACUACUCAAAACUACAGCUACAAGCCUUCAUAGGACUGGUUUUUUUUAAUUAAUGUAUUUGGAUGAAGGGGCAAGUGUAACGAUAUUUUUCUCAAUACUUCUUGAGCUUCUGCAAAUACGUCUGUUUCUGAAAUUGCAGUUAUAAGUGACACUAGGAUAGUCAGUCCUUCAUCCCUGCUGUGUCAGAAUAGUAUCAGGCUAGAUUGCCUGAGAAGCACAUUUGCCUGUUCCCUAGUUUGAGCUAAUAUAAUAGUACAUAUUGUGAGAACAGUGACGGGGGGAGACAUUUCAGCUCAGGUAUUCAGGCUGGGUUUGUUAUUGAUUUGUAUGUCAGUGGGCAAGUAAUUUGAGCAAUGUUAUUCCUUCUCCAUCAGUAAAGUAAGAAGCUAUUUCACAGGUAUGUCAGAGAGUCAUGUAGGGUUUUUUACAGCAUUUGAAAUCUGUUAAACAAUCUAAUUGUUAAGGGUGAAAAGCCACAUAAAGUGUGACACAGUAUUUCAGUUAUUAAAAGAGAAGGUGUUGCUUGGAUAGUAGAUACAAAUACCACAAAAUCAUUCCUUAUUUCCUACUUCUCUCUUCUGCCUGAGCACAGUUGUAUUUCUACUUUUCCAAGGUGUUAUCCUAUUUCAGAAAUCAAUAGCAGCAGAGGAAUUUUCAGUCUUUCUGUCAUGGGAGAGAAAGCAACUUUCCUGUAAUAAGAUCCUGGAAUGCUCCAACUACUCCAGUUCUGCCUCCUGUACUCCCACAGGUAUAAAAUAAACUGUUACAGAAUGCUGCUUCUUCCUACCUGCAGAGCUGGCAUGCUACAUAUAUUGCUUUUCUGCUUUUCAUAUGCUUGCCACGCUGUCAAGGAUGGGUGCAUCGGGGCUGGGAGGAGGCACAGCCAGGACAGGUGAGCCCAGCUGACUAAAGGGGUAUUCCAGACCGUGUGACAUCAUGCCCAGUAGAUAAAGCAGAGCUGCUUAGGUAUCCUUUGGAUGUUUGCAUAGUUGCUUCUACACCAGCCAGGGAAAAGAAAAAAGCAUUAUAAGAAUGAACAAACAGGAAAAUAUAACUACAGUCUUAAUAACUACAGAAUUUCCUCUGAGACUGGUCAUGUAACCUGUGCAGGAUAAACCCAGCUGUUGCACGGAGGACUGUCUUUCAUUUCAAAUUUGGGUAAUUUUUUGUGCUGUGUACUCUGAAAUUUUAAAAUAAACAGUUAGUAACACUGAUGAGGAAUGCAUCAUUCUCACUCAUUUCAAUAAAAUAAUUUCUGCGUUUGUGGUUAUCAGUUCCAAUGGCUUAAUAUAAAACAUCUGUAGGCAAUAUGUAAGAUAUAGAUUGGUCUUUUCAAGGAAUGUUUAUAUAAUAAAGCUUUUAAAAUAAUAAUAGUGGAAGUUACUUUGAAUUUAGAAUUUUCUUGUAAGUUUCCAGGGGAAAAAUAUUUCCAUGUAAGUUACCAAAAAAAAAAAAAUUCUUUUUGACCUGCAUUUUUAAAUUAACAUCUUCAUAGAUUGUGUCAUUGAAAACUGAAAAGUAAGGAGAGAAAAUGCUGAUUCAUGUGACGGAUGUUUCUUUAUCUAAGUUGUGGCCAGAUCCUAGAAAUCAGACCAGGACGAAGCUAAUUAAGUUUUAAAAUACCUGCUUACAUGAUGCCAUCAAAUCUUUUGUAUAUGCUUACUGACUGUAUAUAAACUAGUAUUUGCAUGAUAGACAUAUAAAAUGUAUUUACAAAAUGAGUAACUGUGUCUAUGAUCAUAUUUACACAUUCUGUAUAUGAAGAUUCCUAUUUUUGUGCACGUAUAUACUCACAUGGAACAAAUUCCUUCAUAUGUUACAGUUUAGGUGUCCUGUUCUACCUACAGUUUAAUUUCUAUAUGUCUUCCAUCAUGGGAUGAAUUUUUCCAUUAAAGUGUGUUUCUUAAUUAGAAAGAAGAAA